GCAAAUUAGGUGCGGGUCCUCCAGCUCUCUCCGCCCCGAGGCUCUAUUCCUGUCAUACCCUGCUUAGUGAACAAGCUUGCUCUCUCUCAGAGCUUGCUGUAGUUUCUGAACAGAGCAGAGCUCUCACUCAGAGUAAAGGUCUUUCUACUCUUCGGGAUACCAUCGAGAUCUUCUUUCUCCUUAGAGACGGGACUCAGCCCUAGGACUGAUUGUCCACUCCCCUCGCUUUCUCUCCCUGGCCUCUCAAGGGCAUAGGGUUCCUGAAAAGUGAGGGGAAGAGAGGACUGCACAGCCCCCAGGAAAAGGGAAGGGGGAGGAGGCUGAAUGAAUAACAGGAGCGUGGUUGGAGGGAAGGUGGAGGCUGCAAGGGGAAUGCAGGUUGAGAGUGAGGGGUGGGAAUGUUUGUGUGACUGUAAGCUCUGCCCUGAAUAGCAAAGGGUCCGCAGGGCGCCCCGAAGGAAGGCAGGUCCGGGAUUGGGGUACAAGGCACUCUUACCUCCUCUCUUCCUGCCGAGGGAACUUGCCCAGCCCUUUUCCCCAGCCUGGGACCCCGGGAACUGACAGCUUUUUCUCCCGCACCUGUUUCCCUCCUGCUCUCUUCUGAGCUCUCUCUCCCUUCCCUUCGGGGCUUCCCAUCUAGUUUGGUGUACUUUCUCUACAGCGGCUGGACCAGCCUGGGUGGCAGAAAUCACUUGGCACGGUAGCUCGGGGGAGCCGCCCUCCUCUCCAUAUGAAAAGAGGCUUGGCUCCUGCUGCGCCCGGCUGCUGAGGAGGCAGUGCAGAAAGAGAGAAGCCAGGGCCAAGGGAGUGACUCCGGACUCAACUCUGGGAAUUUCCUCCCACUGGCCCUGGGCACUAGACUGGACGGGACGAACUGGACGGGACUGCGUCUUCCGGGAUAUUCCGGGUCCCCUGAAGCUUGGCUCCUUUCCAUCUGACUGCAGCCAAGAGGAUAAGAGGGGAGAAGAACAAGCGGGCUCGAAGUGCAACCUGGGGAUGACACCUCCUUUGGAAAAGCAGUGCACUCGCAGGAGACCAGUAGAGUUCUGAAACAAAAAGACAACAACUGGAAAAUGGUAUAUGUGCUUAGAGCUUAGCUACUUCUAG
rnacentral:lncRNA from 1 species